UCUGUAACAGUGUCUCUGUUGUUCUCAAAAUGAAGGUCUCUGCAUGACUUAGUCUUCUUCUUAUAUCAGAAAUAGGGGGACAUUUGGGACCUAGAUUUAGUCUUCCAGCUGGUUAAUAAUGGUUGUGUUUGUCUCCUCCAGCUGAUCCAGAGGUUAAUACCGGUUGUGUUGGUCUCUUCUUCUCCUCCAGCUGGUUAAUACCGGUUGUGUUUGUCUCUUCUCCUCCUCCAGCUGGUUAAUACUGGUUGUGUUUGUCUCUUCUUCUCCUCCAGCUGGUUAAUACUGGUUGUGUUUGUCUCUUCUUCUCCUCCAGCUGGUUAAUACUGGUUGUGUUUGUCUCUUCUUCUCCUCCAGCUGGUUAAUACUGGUUGUGUUUGUCUCUUCUUCUCCUCCAGCUGGUUAAUACUGGUUGUGUUUGUCUCUUCUUCUCCUCCAGCUGGUUAAUACUGGUUGUGUUUGUCUCUUCUUCUCCUCCAGCUG
ensembl:lncRNA